UCAAGGGUCCACUGUAUAUUGAAUACUUCAGUUAGAAAACACUGUGAAUUAUCUAUCUAUAUCUUAUCAGAUAUGUAGCUGGUUUGUUCCAGGAGAAGUGUCAUAUGGACAAUAGUCUACUGAACAACUUCUGCUGAACGGAAAAUCAAAGUUCCACUAUCAGAGCAACACAGAACUGAGCUGCUUGCGCCAGUACACGAGCAAUGAUAACAAAGAAUAUAGGUGUUUCAGGCACCCCCCUGGACAAACCACUAUUCUGCACCAGAUUUCAGUGGUUGGAAGCUAAAGUACUAGUGAAAGAAAAAGCAGAAACCGAGGGUCUACCAAAUCCUAUGGUUGAUGUCAGGACUGCGAAAUUGAAAAAAUGUAAAGGAUUUGAACACAGAGAGACUCCAUAUACGUGCAC